ensembl:lncRNA
GAAAGGGUCAGGAUUUCAUACUGAGGAGUGAUAUGCUCAUCUUCAGAUGUGCUUUCCAAGGAGCAUGCAGUCCAGAGGGAUCUUCAGCCAUCUCUAGUUGGAUCAGCUCAUCCAGACCUGCUAAGAAAAAGAACACCUUGUCUGAGAAACUUUCACAAACCUAAACAACAUUCCAAAAAAUACCUGUUAUCUGCCUUCCAAAAAAAUUAUUUUAUACACACACAUUAUAAACAGAGGAGAGCACAAAAGUUAAUGACAUAUCCUGAUCUCUCACUUUACUGAGAGCAGAUCAAAUUAACAUGAUAUGUAAUGUGUAGUAUCAAUAUAGAAUUGAAAGAAAGAUUAAUAUACAGAUACAUACUAUUCAACUGCCAACUUUUUAGUGAUAUUUAUCAAGAAGGGUAGAUCAGAAGUGUUGAUCAUGAGAAGGCAUUUUUUUCUUCACAUUGUUUUUCUCAUGAAGGAUAACUAUGUCUUUCAGCCUCCCUAGAAGAUAUGUUAACAUUCAGCUCCCGCCAGGACCAUGUUUUUCUCCAUGGGGAUUUUUUUUUUUUUUCAGUCAGAAAGAGACCGCUCAAAGUCUGAUAUGCAAUAGGUUUUUCCUACUUUUUUAUUGAUUUCCUUCAGGUUAAGUACUCUCUCAGGUGCAGAGUGAUAUGCUUCAGAAAGGUCUGCUUCACUGUGCAUCUUUCCAUCAAUUAUCUGGCCUUGAGCGUAGAGGAAAAUAGGUGAUCCCAAUUUGAGAUGUCAAUUCCUGCACCAAAUAAAAUAGCUGUUUAUUUGUGUUUCUAAUUGCCACUCAUCCUCUGCUCCUAAAUCCUUAAGUAAUUCAGGAACAGAUCAUGAGGACUCUGAAAUGAAAAAUGCCCAUUUCUGGCUUGGGACUGCAUGCUUGUCUUGUGAAUGUCCUAACACAAAGGUAUAUACAUGUGUAUUUGUCCACAUGUAGCAGUUCAUCACGAAAUAUAUCAAGACAAAAACAUAAAUACGGUUAAAUAUUUUUUUAAAUCUACAAACAGUCAGUGAUAACCAGUGGGAUGCCAACCUGCCAGCUGAUUUGCCCCAGUGCCCCUAAUAAUGGAUUACAGUAAACUAACUUCAAAGAGGACCAAUGAAGUGACAGAUCAGUUAUGUUUCAAAUAAUGUGAGUUGAUUGCUAAUUAUUUAAAUCUCACUUUGUGUGCCAGAAGCAAAUUUACAGCAUUAUCAUUGUAUGCGAACACAGUAGAAGAAAGAAGAAUAGCAACAACAGCAAAGCAAAAAUUUGACUAUUGACUUCCAAGUACAUGAAAUAACUUUAUAAAUAGAAGUGGUCACUAGUGCACAAAAUAGUCAUGUGCUGUGCAGUUAAUGAGAGUAGUGGGAAUAUUUUUUUUCUACCUUUUACCAUCAUUGACAGUAAAGGAGUUUAAAAAAGAAAGUUUCAAAGAAAAUAUGAAUAAUUCAAAGUAGAUUGAAAUCUGAGUAUAGGUUUGCAAUGCAGAUUUUGGAAUUGAAGAGGUUUUGUUUACUACUAAGAGGAAAUUCACCUGAGAAAGAAGCUGUAUAAUACAUGCAAAACAGUCUACCACAAAAAAGUUCAUCAAUCAGUGCAGACGUAAAAUCACCAGCCUUCUAAAUUAUGUUAAUAAAUUAAUAAUCAAAUAUGAUCUAUCAAAGAUGGGAUGGGUAGAACUCAACUAUUUUUUUUUUCUCUGGGGAAAUAAGGGAUUGAAAAUUUUAAUAUCAGUUUUGUAAUACCAAAGAAUAAACUCCCUGGAGAAAGAUAGAAUUACUCUUUAGUUUCUUUUGUUGCAGAAACACUUGCGUUAUUUUUGAGCGCCCCAAAAUCUUCCUGAAUAUAAUUCUGCACCAUGCCAUUUUCAAAUGUGCAAAAUCAUUUCUAAACAGCAAUAAGCAUAAAAUAUACCCUCCCCCUUCACCCCCCCAAAAAAACCCACCAGCUAUUCCAGAUUAGUAUUUAGAAAAAAAAUCUAAAAAGCUAAAUUUUGGAAGUUUACUGCUCCUAUAAGCACAACAGGGGAAGAGAAAAUACAUAAUUGGAUAGUAUGUUGAAUUAUAGGAAUUACUAAAUCAUUUUAUCUUUCAGCUACUUAACUGCAACAUCCAGUCUUGAGAAUGCAGUGUUCGUGGGGUUUUUUACAUAUCCUGCUAUAAGGUGUAUAGAAAGAGACUUCAAACAUAAAUGAUCUAUUGAGCAAAAAAAUCUUCUGUUAGCUUAGAAUCAUUUGAUAACAUUUGCAGAUUCAAAUUUGAUUAAUUGUAGUGGUAAUUUGCAGAGUGAAAGAUAUUGUAUAUACUUCAUGAAUAUAAAGUAACACCAGUAAGUAAUGCUUAAAUAAAUGUAACUGACCACAGUUUUGUAAAUAAUCCACUGCUGAUACAGGCUUUUUCUUCCCUUACAGAGCAAGCAUACUUUCUUCAAACAGUGCUUGACACAAAAAGAAACAGUGAGAGUGUAACACUUCAGGUUAAUAAAAUUAAAAGACAGCAGCUGUAGUUGCUGCCUUGCACAGAGGCAAGACGCUGCUCCCUGCUGAAAGAAACUGCAUUGGAACCUUAGCAUAAGAAUAACUAUAUUGUCUGAGAAGAAGAGAAACCAUAUCGAGUUUUCUUCAUCUACUCAAACUAGUGUGUGAGCAUAUUGUUACAACAGAAAUGUACAUUGAAGCACAGUAGGCUAUCUACCUGAGUUUACAUAGCCUAACUUACCUACCACAAAGCUAAGAAAAAUGUAUUUUUCAUGCAGAAAUUGACACCUCUUGCAUCAUCACAGAUACAAUUAUAACAAAACUAAUGCACACAAUGAGUCGUAACACAAAUGCAAGAGAAAAGUGUCCUAGAAAGAACCAUUAGGAGAAAGAGAAAACAUUUAGACUUCUACAAGAAUAUGGGAAGCUGGGACUAGAUGCUGUUUUUUUGGAGAUUUUCUAAUGUAAAUGUCAUUCAGAUGAAAGCCCAUACUCACUGGAAUGUUCAGCUGCUUUGCACUUCUUCAAAUAAGAAAAAAAACAGCUGUAAACCUAGCUUAACUCUCCAAUUAAGCUGAAUUCAAGGCAUCUUUACAAUACCAGUACAGAACAAAGCAGCUGGAAACAACAAGUAAUUCUGAUCCUAGCAAUCCCUUUUUAGGGCUUUAUUUGGCAUUCUUUACUCAGGCAAAACUUUGCCAUUUUGCCUAAGAUUAAAUUUAGAGGCCUCUGAGAGGCCUCUGAAGAUUAAACAGAAUUAUACCAUAGAACACAUGUUCAUAAAUGCAUAGAAAUUAGAUAUUUCAGUGUAAUAUAUUUUGAGGAGAUUAAUCUAAUUUAGUAGCCUAGUGAACUCAGAAUUCUCACCAAUUUCUGCAAUUACCAGGAUUACAUCUUCAUUAAUUUUACUUUUUUUUUUUUUUUUUUAACAACAGAGUAAAUUGACUUUUCUUUCCAAAGUAAAUGUAAUAAUUACAUUCUGUCACAAUUGUUACACAUGUGAGUUGUAUGUGUGGGUGACAAAUCUCCUUUUACCCUUAGCUACAGGAGUCCUGAGGCAUGGUCCUGAAAUACUUAUCAGUAUGUUGAUGUACAGUUCAAUUCCAUAUAGUUUUCUUUAUGAUUGUCAGUAUAGAGGAUAAUUUGAGAUAGCUUUCACUCUUUUUUAUUGCAUCUGUUCUGUAUUUAUCAGUCUGCUGCCUUUAGCAGACCUAAACAACAGAGGCUUCUUGUUUGUUCAAGAUAGGACUCCCCUUUUUGGUCUCAUAGGCUAGAGCUGUGCGAAGGGGUGUAGCGUUGGGCCGAGUUGCCAGUCUGAGAGCAAAUGUGGCAGCUAUGGCUAACCUCUCUUCCCCUAAAAAAAAAUGGGUGACCUAGUCAAUCCUGACUAUUGGGGUCCAACCCUGCCAUGUACCAUCCUCUGGAUCAUGUCCAGGAGCUGACUGACAGAGUACUUGUUGCCUCAUGCCAGAGCUGAGUAGUUACUGCUGUUGCAUGGCAGUGUUUGUGCACCUGUAGCCAUGAAACAAUGAAGUAAUGAUUGCAUGGAAGCAGUAGCAUUUGUCAGGAGGCUGAAAUUCCUAAAUAAGAAGUUGCACGUCUAAAAUAAACAGGCUCAGCUCUCCAACUCAACAAAGAAACUGGUGAAUGUCAGGAUUGUUUCUUGCUUUUAUUUCUCACUCCAGUGGGCCAGGACCAGAGUCUAGCAGAUAGGUCUUCUCUGUGCUUGGGAAUUACCGAUAUCACUGACCUACAAGAUCAACUUCUUGUACUUUUUCUUGCUUGUCCUGAAUCUUGUUGUGUUUGCUAUGCCAUCAUCAUUUCACCAGGAAGAGUGGAAAGUCACUAUCUACAUGCUGAACAGCCUGAUGUCUGCCACAGGCUUCUGGGAGUUGGGGGAUGCAGUCUUCAGUCCCAGAAUGUAAGAAGGAAAUGAUAAAGAUCUUUCUCCUGGAGCAAAUGUUCUCUUUACACAAAGGUAUCAUACAGAAGAGAAAGGAGAAAAUAGUAGUUGCCAAAUGGAGAUACUGUCUAGUCCACUAAUUGAUGGACAGUUCGUUUGGUAAACAGUCUGGUACAAAACUGUGCUUCAGCCAUUGAUAACAGCUGUUUUUUGUUGUUGUUUUUGUUGUUGUUUCAUUUGUUAUAAUGCCAUGGUUUGCUUUAGAUGGGAUCAACUGUGGAACUAAAUUGCCCACAGUUUUUAAGCAGAACUCUGAGUCCUACUGUCUGACACUCAGAAUUGCUUGAUGUCAGUGGGCAUGCACAGGAUAAGAAAUGUAAUAAAUCUUCCAUGAAACAGUUUCAUUUCAAAGUCUGACAGUGUCUAACUCUUACAGGAAAUGAGAGUGCAAUAGUCCAGUAAUUGAAGCUUCAAGUAAAUACCUAUAAUCUGAGCAUAAAUUCAUGAGAGAAUGUGUUGUAUGCAUGUAGCUAUAUCUGCAAAAGGUCUGAAUUUCCCUACCAGCAGUGUCUGGAUCCAGAGUUUUGAUUUCAAGUCUACUCCUCUGUUCCACAUAUAAACCUGAAUUUAGCAAUUAAAUGAGUACUUCUGCCUUCUGGGCCCAUGAGCACUUCUUCAUACAAGUAAAAAACCAGGUUUGGAAGUUCUCGUCUCUUUGGGAAUAUUUCAUUGUAGAAUUCCAGUUCUAGCAUUUCUCUGAUGGUCUGAAGUCUGCAAAACAUGAGUGUCCUAUAUUACACAAAGAUAUUAUACAUAUCUCCCACAGGGGAUAUGCAUUGCUGUGUGCAUAACUAGAUGAUUAAUGCGGUUUUAAGCAGCUUUACCUUUAUUCUGGCAUAUCAUAAAUCUGUGGUACCACAUACAUACACUAGUACCACGAGCACUGUGCACCAAAACACGUCUAAUUUGAUGUCUCAGAGACAGGAACAUUUCAGGUGAUACAGUUCUAUAAGGCAAUAUCCUCAAAAGUUAUUGAGGUAUUAGUUUAAUAAGUUUAAUAUGCAUUCCUAUCUUGCAUUUCUUUUUAACAAAAUUAGUGUUUGAAAUAAACCCAGUCUUUACUGCUACUCAAAUAAAAGCUACAAUCUGCAAAAGAAUCAGAAUCUUUUUCUGAAUUUUGUGGGAUCAGUUGCAACUUCAGCAUCUGUUAUCUUUGUAAACCAAUAUCUUAACUGUGU